AGUGAACGCUGGCGGUAGGCCUAACACAUGCAAGUCGAACGGCAGCACAGUAAGAGCUUGCUCUUACGGGUGGCGAGUGGCGGACGGGUGAGGAAUACAUCGGAAUCUACUUUUUCGUGGGGGAUAACGUAGGGAAACUUACGCUAAUACCGCAUACGACCUACGGGUGAAAGCAGGGGAUCUUCGGACCUUGCGCGAUUGAAUGAGCCGAUGUCGGAUUAGCUAGUUGGCGGGGUAAAGGCCCACCAAGGCGACGAUCCGUAGCUGGUCUGAGAGGAUGAUCAGCCACACUGGAACUGAGACACGGUCCAGACUCCUACGGGAGGCAGCAGUGGGGAAUAUUGGACAAUGGGCGCAAGCCUGAUCCAGCCAUACCGCGUGGGUGAAGAAGGCCUUCGGGUUGUAAAGCCCUUUUGUUGGGAAAGAAACGCAGCAGGUUAAUACCCCGCUGUUCUGACGGUACCCAAAGAAUAAGCACCGGCUAACUUCGUG
rnacentral:rRNA from 1 species